CUGAAAGAACAAAGGGAAGACACAGUGCUACAAAAGCCCAAGAGCUGCAACCUCCUGACAGGAGCUGGGUUGGGCUUGAAAGUGUAACAAGAGGUUAAAAUAGAAGUUCUAGCUGAAGCACAAAGAAAGUAGAAACAACACAUCAAAGUGAGGGAUUUAUAAAGCAGGAGACUGAAAACCAGCUGGUGACUCUUGAAUUCCUCACCCUUAUUGAGAGUAUAAAAGGCUUAUAGCCCUCACCCUUUCACCUCAAAUCAAGAGGGAAGGGUUUUAGAAACACAACUUGGAGAGCUUAAUAUGUAUCCCUGAAGUUUGAGGAAAGGGGACGUAGUGUACUGACUUCUGCCUGGAAAGUCUAACAGGUGGGAGAUUAAUUGACUGCAAUGAAGGAGAAAGCCAAUGACAGGUUGCUUCUUGACUGGAAUUGUUCAGCACUCCAGAGGCUGUCAGGGAAAGGAUGUGAGCAUGCUGCCUGGAAUCUGAUGUGGCUCAGCUGUAGGACAAAGAUAGUGUGUUUUCUUAAGUUCUGACCAAAUGAACCACCUUAAGAGACAAAGAUCACUCAGCAAGGAAAGCUGAAGAUGCUAUGAGAUGCCAGAGGUUGGGGAAGGAGCAAACAACCAGCUGGAAUGGAUAUGCCUUUUCUCAAAGAAAAUUGCAAGUGGAAGAAUUCCAGCCAUGGGGUCUCCAAAGCAUCCGUGAAACUGUUCCACAAGACAAGGAUGGAUGACUGAAUGCCAAACCCAGAGAGCAGUGAAGCUAAAUCAACUCAAUCAUUUCAGUGAAGAAAGAAAUCUCCUGUCCUUUCCUGUCCCUGAACUCCAUGAUGAAGGGCCAUGUGCUGUAGGUAGCAAAACAGGGGAGAAAGAAUUUCAGUUUUCCUUUUCCCUUGAAAUUUUCUAGCUAAAUCAGUCCGAAAUGUGGAAGGAAAAAGCAUGAAGUUUUUUAUUUUUAUUUUUUGAGACUGAGUCUUGCUCUGUUGCCCAGGCUGGAGUGCAGUGGUGUGGUCUUGGCUCACUGCAACCUCCUCUUCUCGAGUUCAAAUGAUUCUCCUGCCUCUGCCUCCCGAGUAGCUGGAAUUACAGCCGUGCACCACCAUGCCCAGCUAAUUUUUAUAUUUUUAGUAGAAACAGGUUUCACCAUGUUGGCCAGGCUGGUAAUGAACUCCUGACUUCAGGUGUCUGCCAGCCUUGGCCUCCCAAAGUGCUGGAAUUACAGGCAUGAGCCACCACACCUGGCCACAUGAAAGCAUGAAAUUUAAUGCAGAUAGAUUUACCUAUCAUAUAAAAAUGGAAAACCGAAUUACUAAGUGGAACUGAUAUUUUGUGAUCCAGGAAUGACCAUGUCUGAACUUUCAUUUGAGGGGAAAAAGGAUAAUUAACACCAUUGAACAAAUUUAAAGGGAGAAUGGAAGACAAAGUAAAGUUGUUUUAUGUUUACAUACAGCUGUGCUAUUAAGAAAAGCUACCGAUUUUUAUUUUUUGUCUCGUACAAA
rnacentral:lncRNA from 10 species